CUGCUGUUUGGAAGUCCUGAUUGCGAACUGAAAACUGGAUGCUAAGUGAAGUCUCCGCCUUCAGCUGUGGACACCAAAUCCCCGCACAACUAGCAACGAAACAGGGAAGAUGUUUGAGACAUCCUUGUUGGAACGCUUCUCGCUUCUCUGCCAGCCUCAGCCACACAUGACUCCAGGAAGGAAGGCUGAAGAGCCAGAGACAGAGCUGAGGCCAGUGCUGCUCUUCAGCAGUGAAAAUCCAUGCACAGCCUCACCUUCACAGGCAGGCGGUCUGCUCCACCUCGCUGGUUUGCCUCAGACAGUGGCAGGAAGACAUGGCCAGGCACCUUGCUGCCGACCUUCUGGGAGUGGGAUGGACCAGUGUCCCUCUGAAAUCUGGGUUCAUCUGGGGUGGCCCGGGCUGACACCUUUGUCCCGUAUAAUCAUGGAGUGCUUGCUUUCACUCUGGAGAGUGUUCAUAACUGGAUCGUGAGCUAUGUGCUCGGCCUACUUCAUGCCCUCUUGCGACUCAACCAUUUCUUUGGUGACCAACAUUUGCACUUUUAGCCUGCAUCAUCGGUUUGGGGCGGUGAGUUCAGGAAGAUUAUUCUCCAUUGUGUAAAACAAUAUUUACCUCUGUCUGUCUUGAAAUUAUCCUUCGGGCAGGAUAGGAUCCGUCCCAGCUCUGAUGCUGAGGCUUGGUGAACAAGCUGUCUCAUGCUUUUGUUGAUUUUAGCCUUAUCACACCAGCCUUUGUCCAUCCAGAUGGAAGCCCUAAUUGGAGAGCCUAUUCCCAGACCUCCUCCUUGUGAGAUUGUUAGCUUUCCUUGUGAGUCAGGCUGCAGCAGUGUUUGGAGGUGACUUGUCUGUCUGAAAAGUGGUACACAACGGCUUGUCCUUUCAGGCACUGAUGAAAGGCCAUCUGGUAGGGGCAGGACUUUCCAGCUGUAUUAUAAUUGUUUUAAAUUAGACAUUUUUGACCACAUAGAGAAUAAAGGAGAGAGACCCAGCCUAAGUGGCCUGUGGUGAGCCCUCUGUUUGUGCUUGCAGAACGACAGAAAGAAAAAAAAAGAAAAAAGAAAGGGAAAAAAGACAGUAUACAUCAUUAGAAUGCAAUGUUAUAAAUUUAAAACACUAUUUGCAGAUUUUAAAAAAUUGUUUUGCUUUGUUCUUUCAUACCCCAGGCCUGAGCCUGAAGGGCCAAAUAUCAUGUAAAAAAUUCUCCCAAAGAGCGCAUUUAAGUGGACAUGGUGAUUUCUUUCUUUUCAAGAACAGGAAUUUUACAGAAAACAGUACUCAGGAGUAAUGGCAGGAAAAAGGGAACAUUUUGUAAUAGAAUAUCUUAUCCCUGUACUUUGUGUUUAUGGUUUAGAAGUUAGAUUACAUUAAAACAAGAUGUACGAGUGCCUUCCAUGUGCAAAAUUUUGCUGGGCACUGAAAAUAGAUAAGCUGGAUCUAAAUUCAGCUCCUGUUACUUCAGACAUUAUAAUUUGUUUUCCUGUGGAACAUCAAAAUGAUAUAAUAAAUUAUCGCCCUCCUGCUGAA